UAAAAGAACUUCUGGGGGAAUCACCAUCCCUGACCUCAGGCAAUAUUACACGGUGAGAGAUUCCCCGAAGGGAGACCCUUACUCAAGUCUCGGGAAGUUGCAGACCCCAGACACAGAGAGACCA
rnacentral:pre_miRNA from 14 species